ensembl:lncRNA
AUGGAGAAAGUCAUAUUUUUCUUCUGUGUGUUUUCAUUUUGGAUUAUGCAAAUCACAUCCAAUGAUGCGUCAGUACGAGGGUCUUUUGAUCUGCUGAGAGUUCAGAAGGGAGAAAACAUCAGUCUGAACUGCAGCAUGAGAAACAGAUAUGAAGUCGCCUGGUAUCACCUCAAUUCUGAAAAACUAGAUCUGUUGAUUUCUGUGAAGAAAGACAUAACUGGAAGAAAUAUCCUGAAGAACUUUGAUCAAAACAGCCCUCGUCUGAAGCUCACUGCAGACACAAGGAUCACCAAAGUCUUUCUAGAGAUUUCUGGAGUAACAGAGUCAGAUGUGGGCAUUUAUUUCUGUGGAACGAAGUCUGAUGCUCCACAGAUGUUCUUCGACAAACCCAUCAGACUAGAGAUCGAGGGUCUUUCUGUAACAGAAAAGCCAAAAGAAGUUGACACCACAGAUGGAGAGACUACGAACAAUAGGGCAUUGAUGCUCGGUGGUGUUGGUCUGGCUAUUGCAGUGUUUUUUCUGGCUACAGUCAUCGCAGGAGGAAUCAUUCACUAUCGCGGCUGGCAGAAAGGAUGGAGCGCAGCCAAACGCUCAGCUCUGAUUCGUCACAAUUCAGCUAAAUAACACAUUUGUCUGCUUUAUUUUACUGUCUGAGCUUUGCACUGCCAGCUAAACCUGAGUUACUGUAGAUUACUACAAACUAAAAUAGACAACUGUGUGCCCUAAAUGCCCAAAUGUUGACCAGAUCUACUUUCACUUCAGAGAAACUGAGAUGUUUUGGCAGAUUUCACCUUUUUCAGCCCCAGUGAAACAUUAAUUGUUGUGGUUAUUAUUCAGGUUUGUGCAGUUAAUUUGUGCUUGUUAAUAAUAUUCAGUUUAAGUGCUGUUACUGCUACUGUUUUUAAUGCAACAUAAUUCAAUGUCAAUACACAAUAUUCAAGCUAGAGUAGCAUGUCUUAAGCAUUUUUACUGUAAUACAGAGAUUGAGCCAAAGUCCUUAUUAAAAAAAAAAACAGCAGCCGUCGUCUGUCACAGCCAAUAUAUAUGCUUUAAAAUCAUUAAACCAGCAGGACUUGUGUUAAAAUAGUGUCUGGCUGCAUCUUUAGACAUGAUAUAUUUAUCUAGACUAGUAUUAAUACGUGCAUGUAAGCUGUUUUCAAGAGACAAUAUAAAUGUGAAUCUCUUCUAUGGCACAUAAAUCUUGAUUUAAUUAAACUGAUGUCUUAAUGUUAAAUGUAUUAUUUAGAGUUCAAAUAAACAGCAGUAAAACUGUGAAACUGUGUGUUUG